rnacentral:rRNA from 1 species
CGGAAUUAUUGGGCGUAAGCGCGCGCAGGUGGUUUCUUAAGUCUGAUGUGAAAGCCCACGCCUCAACCGUGGAGGGUCAUUGGAAACUGGGAGACUUGAGUGCAUAAGAGGAAAGUGGAAUUCCAUGUGUAGCGGUGAAAUGCGUAGAGAUAUGGAGGAACACCAGUGGCGAAGGCGACUUUCUGGUCUGUAACUGACACUGAGGCGCGAAAGCGUGGGGAGCAAACAGGAUUAGAUACCCUGGUAGUCCAC